rnacentral:rRNA from 1 species
UACGGAAGGGGCAAGCGUUGUUCGGAAUUAUUGGGCGUAAAGGGCGCGUAGGUGGUUCUGUAUGUCUACCGUGAAAGCAUACAGCUCAACUGUAUUUUGUCGGUAGAAACUGCAGGACUUGAGGCUGGGAGGGGCUGGUGGAAUUCCCUGUGUAGCGGUGAAAUGCGUAGAGAUGGGGGAGAACACUCGUGGCGAAGGCGGCCAGCUAGACCAGUUCUGACACUGAGGCGCGACAGCGUGGGGAGCAAACAGG